AACGAUGUACAAUUAUACUUUCAAUGACGUUUGUUUUCAUAAACGGCAAUGGAAACGGUUACGCCAUUGAAUCAAUCUUUAAAGGGGCACUAGCUGUCAAAAUCAUAUUCACCGUUUGAAUUACAUAUUCUACAUCCGAGGAAAGAAUAAUAGGGAUUUGCCUUAUAUUGGAUAUCCCAAUUUUCUACUGCAUGGAAGAUAUUGGAAUCCUGCUUUGUAAUUGAUUAUCAGAAUUCUAAUACAUCGGAAUUCCGAUUUACAGAAGCCAAUUUGUACGGUAACAUAUAUAUAAUAUACUUAUUAAUGUUAUUAUUCAAUGGCCCCCCUUCAAUGUCUUUUGAUAUAUGGAUACUAAAUGUUGGUCCUGUCGUUUUCACUGAAACAAACUGGCACAGUAUUUUCUUUUAGUAUGAUUCGUUCUAGAGUGUUUUAAAAUGUUUUACAAGAGAUUUCGCUAUAAUUAGAUAAAUCUGUCUUGAUACCAGACGUCAAAUAAACUAUAUUCCUUUGAACUGGGUAAUGUCCAGUUAUUAGUAUCAUUUGAUUUAGGUUAAUUGAAUUUGCUGAAGAACUCUGGCAAUAGUAAAUCUACUUGUAAUCAUUUUGUUUACAG
rnacentral:lncRNA from 1 species